UACGUAGGGUGCAAGCGUUGUCCGGAAUUAUUGGGCGUAGAGCUCGUAGGCGGUCUGUCGCGUCGAAUGUGAAAACCCGGGGCUCAACCCCGGGCCUGCAUUCGAUACGGGCAGGCUAGAGUUCGGUAGGGGAGACUGGAAUUCCUGGUGUAGCGGUGAAAUGCGCAGAUAUCAGGAGGAACACCGGUGGCGAAGGCGGGUCUCUGGGCCGACACUGACGCUGAGGAGCGAAAGCGUGGGGAGCGAACAGG
rnacentral:rRNA from 1 species